UCUGCUUUGCAUCAUGACUAUAUUUGCAAGUAUUGCUAAAGUAAUUUCAAGCGAGGGUUCCAUAUUUGUUGGAAACUGACAAGGCUACAGUGGAAAUGGAGUGCAUGGAAGAAGGAUAUCUUGCCAAGAUAAUACAUGGAGAUGGGUCCAAAGAGAUAAAAGUUGGUGAGAAAAAAUAUUAGAAUGUCCACCCGAAUCUCAAAACACAACUAAUAUUGUUGAUGAUACAAUUAGCAUUGUGUUUGG